AUUACUCUAGGCGGUGGAUCACUCGGCUCGUGUGU
rnacentral:rRNA from 2 species